GGAGAGUCAGUGUGUCCCUCUUGCAUAGGCUGUUUCUUAAGUAACUUUAAUUCAAAAUAAUCAAUUUGCCAUUGACACAUAUCUUGGGACAGCCUAAAUAUCUCAGUAAAGCAGCUACAAAACCAAAUAACCAGGCCCCUCUAUGAGAGAGGAGAUGAAAGAAGCUGGCAACUGGAAUCAAUUCAGAUCUCCCCCUGCCUCCUAGUUAACAAGGGCCAGAAUCCUACGGCAAAGGGUAAUGUCAUGGGUCUACUGUUUCAAAAUACGCUCAAAUGACCAGACUGUAGAAAGAAAAAAGGAAAAGCACCAGCUUCUGCUUACUCAUCUAGGUUCCCAGUGAUUGCCAGGACAGUGUUACCAGCUCACAGAAGCAACAUAAGCAGAAACUGGAAUGUAAAGUAGAGAAAGCUGCAGGUGCCCCAGGGGAGAUGUGACCCAGCCUAGGCAUCAGGAAGAGUUGCCUUGAAAAUGUGAUGAGUAAGCUAAGAGCUGAAGGACCAAAGGAGCUAGCAAGGCAAAGAACAAAAGAACAUUCCAGGUGAAGGGAGCUCAGGUAUGGA